CGGUAGCGACGGGUUGGAGGUCAUUUUCCAUUCUUCAUUUAACUCCAUAACAGCUGUUUUCUGAUAAUCAUUGCAUAGUACAAGUAAAGCCUCAUUAGCCAAGAAGGAGCUCUGGCCCCUCUGUACAAUUGCUUCCUUUCUGAGAUUUAUCUUAUAAAUUCCAUCUGUUUUACUGUUCCCAAAGUUGUCUGUCUCCUCAUCAGCAGGACCAAUAUAUUCUGGCCUCACCAUUCUAUAUCAUAACCAGUAAAUUGUUCCAGUUAGCCAGCGAAAAUAUAAGACACACCUUGUGAGUUUCCUAUCUCCUGAGGAUCAGUUUUGUGCCACCUGUGGUCCAAAGUACAAAAAUAGUUGCUUUAUGGUUUCUCUUGGAUUAUGGUUAUUUACAAUGGAAAUAAUAGUCUGGUACCAGUUACUCUAUCUCAGCCAGUAGAACCUAUUCAUUUCAUAACUACUUUAAAUCACAAAAAUAUAUUUUUCUGACCAUUCU
rnacentral:lncRNA from 1 species